rnacentral:rRNA from 1 species
UACAGAGGUCUCAAGCGUUGUUCGGAUUCAUUGGGCGUAAAGGGUGCGUAGGCGGCGCGGUAAGUCGGGUGUGAAAUCUCGGAGCUUAACUCCGAAACUGCAUUCGAUACUGCCGUGCUUGAGGACUGGAGAGGAGACUGGAAUUUACGGUGUAGCGGUGAAAUGCGUAGAUAUCGUAAGGAAGACCAGUGGCGAAGGCGGGUCUUUGGCCUGUAACUGACGCUGAGGCGCGAAAGCGUGGGGAGCAAACAGG